UACGUAGGGGGCAAGCGUUGUCCGGAUUUAUUGGGCGUAAAGAGCGUGUAGGCGGCUUGGUAGGUCCGCUGUGAAAACUCGGGGCUCAACCUCGAGACGCCGGUGGAAACCAUCAGGCUAGAGUCCGGAAGAGGAGAGUGGAAUUCCUGGUGUAGCGGUGAAAUGCGCAGAUAUCAGGAAGAACACCCGUGGCUAAGGCGGCUCUCUAGUACGGUACUGACGCUGAGACGCGAAAGCGUGGGGAGCGAACAGG
rnacentral:rRNA from 1 species